rnacentral:rRNA from 1 species
CCUGAUGGCGACCGGCGACACGGGUGAGUAACGCGUAAUCCAACUUCCCCCUGCUCAGGGAUAGCCCGGUGAAAACCGGAUUAAGACCUGAUAGUUUCACUAGAUGGCAUCUGACGGUGAAUAAAGGUUUCGGCAAGGGAUGGGGAUGCGUCUGAUUAGCUUGUUGGCGGGUAACGGCCCACCAAGGCGACGAUCAGUAGGGGUUCUGAGAGGAAGGUCCCCCACAUUGGAACCGAGACACGGUCCAAACUCCUACGGGAGGCAGCAGUGAGGAAUAUUGGUCAAUGGGCGGAAGCCUGAACCAGCCAAGUAGCGUGCCAGGAAGACGGCCCUAUGGGUUGUAAACUGCUUUUGUGCGGGAAUAAAGUCAGGGACGCGUCCCUGUUUGCAUGUACCGCAAGAAUAAGGACCGGCUAAUUCCGUGCCAGCAGCCGC